UUCGUAGGUGGUGCGGCAAGUUGGGAGUGAAAUCUCUGGGCUUAACUCAGAGGCUGCUUUCAAAACUGCCGUGCUCGAGUGCGGGAGAGGCCAGUGGAAUUGCAGGUGUAGCGGUGAAAUGCGUAGAUAUCUGCAGGAACACCCGUGGCGAAGGCGGCUGGCUGGACCGCAACUGACACUGAGGAACGAAAGCUAGGGGAGCAAACA
rnacentral:rRNA from 1 species